rnacentral:rRNA from 1 species
AGGACUAACGCUGGCGGCGUGCCUAACACAUGCAAGUCGAACGGGGUAGCAAUACCCAGUGGCAGACGGGUGAGUAACACGUGGUCAACCUACCUCUGUGUGGGGGAUAACUAGCCGAAAGGUUAGCUAAUACCGCAUACGAUCGUUUUGAGGCAUCUCGAGACGAUGAAAGGAGCAAUCCGCACGGAGAGGGGACUGCGUCCCAUUAGUUAGUUGGUGGGGUAACGGCCUACCAAGACUCCGAUGGGUAGCUGGCUUGAGAGAGCGACCAGCCACACUGGAACUGAGAAACGGUCCAGACUCCUACGGGAGGCAGCAGUGAGGAAUUUUCCGCAAUGGGCGAAAGCCUGACGGAGCGACGCCGCGUGUGGGAUGAAGGCCUUGGGUCGUAAACCACUGGUCGAAGGGGACGAGUAAUGACGGUACCCUUGGAGGAAGCCCCGGCUAACUACGUGCCAGCAGCCGC